rnacentral:rRNA from 1 species
UACGAAGGGGGCUAGCGUUGCUCGGAAUCACUGGGCGUAAAGAGUGCGUAGGCGGUUUUCUAAGUUUGGUGUGAAAUCUCCCGGCUUAACUGGGAGGGUGCGCCGAAGACUGGAAGGCUAGAGUAUGGGAGAGGUAAGCGGAAUUCCUGGUGUAGCGGUGAAAUGCGUAGAUAUCAGGAGGAACACCUGCGGUGUAGACGGCUUACUGGACCAUAACUGACGCUGAGGCACGAAAGCGUGGGUAGCAAACAGG